CUUUUCCAACCUGAAUGAUUCUGUGAUUCUAUGAUUCCAUGAUCUUAAUGCAGGAGGAAGAAGACCCAUAAAUGAGGUUUCAUUUUGAGUUUCAUAUAGGACGCCCUGCAGCCUUGGAAAUGUAGCACACUACAAGCUUUGCUGCCACCAGCCUCCAAAACUACAUCACACUUGAAGUCUUAUGACUCUGAUGAGUGAGCUCCAUGCUUUCUCCUUGAUCCCUGAUGACCAGCAAAACUCAUCCCAGACUGAAAGCCGAGGAGGGAUGAUUUGCAGCAGAAUACCAAUUUUGAUGAUUAUAUACUGCACCGACACACCAUCAGAAUAAUGGGGGCAGCUGAUGGAUUUGGUAGCACUGGGCGCUUAACAUUCUGCCUUGUUUUGCCUCCUGUCAUUUCGUGGUGUUAAUGGCUUCGCUGUGAUUUGUUAGAUUGCAUGACCUCAAGGACACCCAGCUCCCUCCUUCGUUUCUCUUCCUUCCUUCUCUCCCUGCGCGUGUGUACGUGCACCUUUAAUGGAAGGCUUUGUUUUAAUAGAAUCUAAAUGACAUGUCUCUGCUUUGGACAGAGUUCAGGAAAGCCAUCACAAGGACAGAGAAACCACAAGCAUCCUAUGAAUGAUUUCAGCUUUCCCUUGAUAAGCUGGUGACCUGUUCCAGCAAUGAAGCUGGGGGCUAUUGAUUCAGCUCAGGGCAAUUGUGCAGGUUUUAGCUGAAUUGGCUUGGCACGUUGGCUGGAGAUUGCACCUAUUUUCAUGACAAGAAUGAAUAGCUGCUGAACUGUUCUGUCUGCCUGCCACCCAGUGGGUGUGGGGACUGAGGAGCUGCUCUGCAAAGAGUAGGGGUAUCAGAUAAAUACUUCAGGGGUUUCCAGCUAUAGACUUUAAUGCACUAUACCAAGUGGAACAGAGGAUGGUUUGUGGGCUGGAGAAACAGGUCUUCCUGAUCCCAAGAGAAGAAAUACAUCCUAGCUGAAUCUUAUUGUCCAUGUAGGAGUAAGACCGGAGCAUGCACUGUGCUAUCUCACGACCCCAUCUAGAGAAAAGAUGGCCCCCUUUUGUCUUACCACUAUGAUUUUAAAAGUCAGUCUCCAUCUUAUUAGAGUUGGGCUCCAUGAUCCUUAUGAGUCCAUUCCAACUCAGGAUGUUCUAUGAUUCUAUGAUUGUUUAUGAGCUCUCUUUAAAUACUGAAAUCAAGGGCUUUUGUGCAAAUUGAAGAGCUGUGCACUGGUGCCAGCUCCAGUUCAGGAUAAUUUGGCUCUGGUCUAUUUCUUCAUGACCUGUCUGGCCUGGCCGCACUGUUCCCCAAUCAUCUUCCUACUCCCAUGGAAAGAGCAUCUUCCAUUCUCUGGGGCACAAGAUGUUUAAAUUCAGGCAACUGAAAGAGAGUCUUUGGUCUACUUUGACUGUGGCCGUAGGAGUGUAGACGCCUACACUUUGGCACUGAAACUGGUGUGUUUCCAUCUAUCAGCUAAUCUCGCCUAGGGAUUCAACAUAUUGUUAAUGAUGUGUCUAGCAGGGGAAGAGGGAAGUGUCUCAGUUUUCAGGCUUAUUCAGCCCUGAAAAUAUCCUCGCUGUGCUGUUGGGAACUGUGGUGAUGUGGUUGCUUGCAGGAUGUCUUGGGGAGGUGGAUGCUUCAGGUUAGAUGGGAAGGGGCUGGUGGAGGAUCUUGUAGCACAGAUGAGACCUUUCAGCUUGGUCAAAGGAGCAAUGCAACCUGAUGGAGCCAUGGGUGUCCCUGUUCAAUGCAUGGGAGUUUGACCAGAUGACCUUUAAGGGUUCCUUCCAACUCAAGCCAUUCUAUGAUUCUGUGAUCUUAUAUGCACAAGGGCUAUCAGGGGAACUGCAGCUGUAGCAAAGAGAAGUGGCCCCCAAUACCCCACUGCCCCAUUGCCUGAGGAAGAAGGAGAGAAGGUUUGUACAGAAAGAUUUUCACUGGAGGAACAAUUGAAGGAGGCUGUGGAUGCCCCAUCCCUGCAGGCAUUCAAGGCCAGGCUGGAUGUGGCUCUGGGCAGCCUGGUCUGGUGGUUAGCGACACUGCACAUAGCAGGGAGUUGAAACCAGAUGAUCAUUGUGGUCCUUUUCAACUCAGACCUUUCUAUGAUAACACAACCAACCCCACUGCAACUCCAUGAGGAAUAACCCUGUUGCCUUUGCAGCUUUUUCCCCCUCCCAUUUUGCUCCCAGCCUUGAGAGAGGAAUUAUUCAGUGGUGAAUAAUUGCACACUGCUCUCCUCCAGCCUCGAUAGUUCGGUCAAUAAUAACAGCCCGCUGUGUUCUAUCACAUGGGGCUCUUUCUCCUUUGUCUUCAACUUCCAGAUUCCUCUUAAGGUUCAGAAUGGAAAGAUCCCUCCUCUCUGUCCUUAUCUGCAAGGUGAAAGGAGGGAGAAAUUGUCUUCUGCCUUUGAGAAGAUAAGUCACGUUGGACUCUUCCUCUUUAGAAAAGUCUCUAAUGCCAUUUAUCAAUUAAUUACUGGGUUGCAUUUAUGCCCAUUAAUUCCCCUUGCUGUCUUUCAUUUUUGGAAAGGUCUGUGCUGCCCAGGAUCUAAUUGUCCUGGUCUUACGUUGCUUUCUUUCUCAUUUUCAAGCUAAGUGGAUGCCAAAGCCUACGAAGGCAGCAGUCUCUUCCCCCUCCUCUUCCACCCUGGCCAUUCUCAAAGCGGAUUUGGCUGGGCUUGGGGGGAAUGGAUUAAUCUGUGUGGCCCAAGCUUUAAAUCCUAAUUCUACUCCUGAAACAAUCAUUGCUGGAUGCAGAGAAACAUUUUCACCUGGAUUUCUUUACCUGGAAAGAAAUACUUUCAUGUCAACUACAACAUGCUGGGGUUUUCUAUCAAUCUUGGUUCAUCCUUUGAGUCCAAAUAACCAAUCCAGAUGAUUUUGAUAAGAAAAGCUUCAAUUUAACUUUGUUUCCACCCCCUUCAAACAGUUUAAUACCUCCCUUACAAACAGUAUUUCACUUUCUUCGCUUCAAGUUAAAACACAAAUGUGUUUAUUUUAAAUGGAAAUAAGUUCCCAAGUAAACAAAAUGGGCUUAUUUUGUUCAAAUGAUUUUACAGAGAAAAAAAAUAGUAAUGAAAUGUAUACCUUUCAGAUAAGUCCAAAAAUGCCUUUUUUCAGUUCAGUCACUUAAUCAUAGAGCUUUUCCUGCCCCCCUACCCCACAAUCGCCAUCCUUGAUGCCAUUGAGAAGAGCACAAAUGCUGCCAUGUAAGCCAUGUUUCAGCAAGGAAAGAUCUUUCUGGUGUUAACUAAGUCAGAUUUUUGAGACCUGAGCAGAGUCAGUCCUCUGGGGCAAUAAGCUUGGAUGCUCAAAUCCAGCAAGAGCCCAGAGUUUCACAGUCCUUUCCCCAGAGUGCCCAAUGGGCUUUGGAUGGCAUCGUGCUGAAAGCCAAUUAGAAGAAAAUCUUUUGUAAAAGCCCUGGCUUUGGCCAGAAAAGGAAGGCCGUGAUACACAUAAAUCCCAUUGGUUCCUGCCGAGAUGCAAAUGUGUCUGGAAGUCACAGAUGUGGUUAUGAGGUCAUAGAAUCUUCGAAGGGCUUGGGUUGGAACUGUCCUCAAAGAACAACCAGUCCAACCCCCCUGCCAUCAGCAGGGUUACCAACCACUAAGUCAGGCACCAGACCAGGCUGCCCAGGACUGCAUCCAACCCAACUCUGAACAUCACCACAGAUGGGACAUCCACAACUUCCCUGGGGAGAGAAGGAUUCAUCUAUGGGGCUCCUCUGGGGAGUGCUCAAUGUUCUGCAUCUGUGGAUUCAACCCUUCAUGUGACCCAAAGUGCUUCCAUACAUGGAAAAAGGAAAGUCCCUUCACACAUCCAGUCUCAUGCAAAAGCCUGAGAGAUCCCAAAUCUGCACAAAAGGAAGUAAAAUCACCAGCAGGAUCUCCAAGGACAAUGUCUAUGAAACUUGGCUGCAAGUUGUGUGUUGGAAAUGAGAAAAUUCACUCCUGGCUUACAUCAGGGAAGCAGUACAGAAGGAGAAUAAGAAAUGAAGAGCAGCAAUAAAAUGAAUUAUUCAAAAACA